rnacentral:rRNA from 1 species
CCUACGGGUGGCUGCAGUGGGGAAUAUUGGACAAUGGGCGAAAGCCUGAUCCAGCCAUGCCGCGUGUGUGAAGAAGGCCUUCGGGUUGUAAAGCACUUUCAGUGGGGAAGAAAGCCUUGGGGCUAAUACCCUCGAGGAAGGACAUCACCCACAGAAGAAGCACCGGCUAACUCCGUGCCAGCAGCCGCGGUAAUACGGAGGGUGCGAGCGUUAAUCGGAAUUACUGGGCGUAAAGCGCGCGUAGGCGGUCUGUUAAGCCGGUUGUGAAAGCCCCGGGCUCAACCUGGGAACGGCAUCCGGAACUGUCAGGCUAGAGUGCAGGAGAGGAAGGUAGAAUUCCCGGUGUAGCGGUGAAAUGCGUAGAGAUCGGGAGGAAUACCAGUGGCGAAGGCGGCCUUCUGGACUGACACUGACGCUGAGGUGCGAAAGCGUGGGUAGCAAACAGGAUUAGAUACCCGGGUAGUC